UACGGAGGGUGCGAGCGUUGUUCGGAAUGACUGGGCGUAAAGCGCACGUAGGCGGGAUGGAAAGUCGGAUGUGAAAGCCCCGAGCUCAACUCGGGAAUUGCAUUCGAAACUUCCAUUCUUGAAUGCCUGAGAGGGUGAUGGAAUUCUAGGUGUAGGAGUGAAAUCCGUAGAUAUCUAGAGGAACACCGGAGGCGAAGGCGAUCACCUGGCAGGACAUUGACGCUGAGGUGCGAAAGCGUGGGUAGCAAACAGG
rnacentral:misc_RNA from 1 species